UAACAGUUGGAAACGGCUGCUAAUACCGCAUAAGCGCACAGCAUCGCAUGAUGCAGUGUGAAAAACUCCGGUGGUAUAAGAUGGACCCGCGUUGGAUUAGCUAGUUGGUGAGGUAACGGCCCACCAAGGCAACGAUCCAUAGCCGACCUGAGAGGGUGACCGGCCACAUUGGGACUGAGACACGGCCCAAACUCCUACGGGAGGCAGCAGUGGGGAAUAUUGCACAAUGGGCGAAAGCCUGAUGCAGCGACGCCGCGUGAGCGAAGAAGUAUUUCGGUAUGUAAAGCUCUAUCAGCAGGGAAGAUAAUGACGGUACCUGACUAAGAAGCACCGGCUAAAUACGUGCCAGCAGCCGCGGUAAUACGUAUGGUGCAAGCGUUAUCCGGAUUUACUGGGUGUAAAGGGAGCGCAGGCGGUGCGGCAAGUCUGAUGUGAAAGCCCGGGGCUCAACCCCGGUACUGCAUUGGAAACUGUCGUACUAGAGUGUCGGAGGGGUAAGCGGAAUUCCUAGUGUAGCGGUGAAAUGCGUAGAUAUUAGGAGGAACACCAGUGGCGAAGGCGGCUUACUGGACGAUAACUGACGCUGAGGCUCGAAAGCGUGGGGAGCAAACAGGAUUAGAUACCCUGGUAGUCCACGCCGU
rnacentral:rRNA from 1 species